rnacentral:tRNA from 1 species
UCCCUGGUGGCCUAGUGGUUAAGGGUUCUAUGUUGUCACUAUAGUGACUCAGAUUCGAUCCCUGGCCCAGGAA